rnacentral:rRNA from 1 species
UUCGCAAUGCCCGAAAGGGUGACGAAGCGACGCCGCGUGGGUGAGGAAGGCCUUCGGGUUGUAAAGCCCUGUCAGGAGUUAAGAAAUGUAGACUCGCUAAUAUCGGGUCUAUUUGACAAAGGCUCCAAAGGAAGCCACGGCUAACUCUGUGCCAGCAGCCGCGGUAAUACAGAGGUGGCAAGCGUUGUUCGGAAUUAUUGGGCGUAAAGAGCACGUAGGUGGAUUUGUAAGUCAGACGUGAAAGCCUUCUGUUCAACGGAAGAAUUGCAUCUGAAACUACAAACCUUGAGUGUAGGAGGGGAGAAUGGAACCUCUGGUGGAGCGGUGAAAUGCGUAGAUAUCAGAAGGAACGCCGGCGGCGAAAGCGAUUCUCUGGCCUAUUACUGACACUCAGUGUGCGAAAGCUAGGGGAGCAAACGGGAUUAGAUACCCCGGUAGUCCUAGCCGUAAACGAUGGGCACUAAGUAGAGGGGUUUU